rnacentral:rRNA from 1 species
GACUUGGUGUGGUUGUUGCUGGCCCUCUCGGGGGCAUGUGCACACCCAUCAUCCUCAUCUCUCCACCUGUGCACCUCUUGUAGACCUGGAUUGACUUUCCGAGGCAACUCGGUCGGGAAGAUUGCUGCGCUCUGUGAGCCAGCUUUCUUUGCAUGUCCAGGACUAUGUUUUUCAUAUACCCCUAUAGAAUGUAACAGAAUGUAUCAUUGGGCCUUGUGCCUAUAAACCUUAUACAACUUUCAGCAACGGAUCUCUUGGCUCUCGCAUCGAUGAAGAACGCAGCGAAAUGCGAUAAGUAAUGUGAAUUGCAGAAUUCAGUGAAUCAUCGAAUCUUUGAACGCACCUUGCGCUCCUUGGUAUUCCGAGGAGCAUGCCUGUUUGAGUGUCAUUAAAUUCUCAACCUUAUUAGCUUUUGUUGAUAAUGGAUUGGAUGUGGGGGUUUAUUUUGCUGGCUUCUUCACAGAGAUCAGCUCCCCUUAAAUGCAUUAGCUGGUGACCCGCGUGGACCAUCUAUUGGUGUGAUAAUUAUCUACGCCGUGGAUGUCUGCAAUCAUAUGGGUUUUGCACUGCUUCUAACCGUCUGUUCAUUCGGACAAUACAUGACAAUUUGACCUCAAAUCAGGUAGGACUACCCGCUGAACUUAAGCAUAUCAAUAA